rnacentral:rRNA from 1 species
CCUACGGGUGGCAGCAGUGAGGAAUAUUGGUCAAUGGGCGCGAGCCUGAACCAGCCAAGUAGCGUGAAGGAUGAAUGCCCUACGGGUUGUAAACUUCUUUUAUAAAGGAAUAAAGUGAGGCACGUGUGCCUUUUUGUAUGUACUUUAUGAAUAAGGAUCGGCUAACGCCGUGCCAGCAGACGAGGUAAUAAGGAGGAAUCGAGCGUUAUCCGGAUUUAUUGGGUUUAAAGGGAGCGUAGAUGGGUUGUUAAGGCAGGUGUGAAAGUUUGGGGCUCAACCGUAAAAUUGCAAUUGAUACUGGCAGCCUUGAGUACAGUUGAGGUAGGCGGAAUUCGUGGUGUAGCGGUGAAAUGCUUAGAUAUCACGAAGAACUCCGAUUGCGAAGGCAGCCUACUAAACUGCCACUGACAUUGAUGCUCGAAAGUGUGGGUGUCAAACAGGAUUAGAUACCCUGGUAGUC